UUGGCAAUCAGGUCUUCUCAGAUGUGAGUAGUUAAAUGGGGUCAUACUGGAGUUGGGUCCUUAUAAGAAGAGGGAAAUUUGGACACAGACACAGAAGACACAGGGAGAAUGCCAGGUGACGACGGAGGCAGACAGAGGACACCUGGGGCCACCAGAAGCUGGAAGAGAGAGUUCUGCAGAGUCUGCUGCUCCAAGGGCUCUGCUGACUCCUCCUCACCCUCUCUCCUCUGCCAGGCACCCCUGGCUGGAGGGGGAGACAGACAUCGACCGGAAGAGCUGGAAGACCUGGCGUUGCGCAGCGGCCUUGGGUACUUAACAAGUGUCUCAGGGUUAGAACCCUCUCGCCCAUGGAGCUUGUGCCUCAGUCGGGGGAGACAACCACACACCCAAACGUCCAAGUUGUUCCACGUUCCAGGCUGGAUGCUUGUUGGCUGCCAGGAGCUUCCAGGAUGAAGUUGAAGGUAGAGGUGGCAACUGCAACCUACAGCACCAGUCACGGAUACGUCUCCUCUGCUGGUUUGCUGUUCACCUUCUCCGUGGCACUGGGAGAAAGCAGCUUUUUGCAAACAUCGGUGACGAAGGUUCAAAGGUUUGGUCGCACAAAGGGAAGCUACGGUGUGGUGGGAGUUUGCAGCCUGCCUGUUGAUUUGGAGCCUCAUGUGUGUUGGGAGUCUUCUUUGAUUGAGAAGCUGGUGGCAGGCAAUGCCCCAUGUUUCUGGGUGCCCCUCAGAGUCAGGUGUGAGGGGUCCGUCUGUGCACCUUGGAUGUCCAGCUGAAUCUCAGCCGCCUUGAAUCUGAUCCCAGGGCUUUGUGUGGUCUCAGGAAUCUGCAUAUCUGCUGGCCCCACCUCCUGCACCCCUGUGUGUGCACAUGCAAGUCUGUUCCAGGCUCCGGUGCUGCAUGCGCUCUGUAUGAUGCUGUGGGACAUCGGCAGGGUUUUCGAGCUUCCAGCAAGUCCACCUUGGCUGACGCAGGAUGGGGUACCAGUGUCAUGGCUCCGUUGUGGCCAAUUCGAUGGACCACAGAAAAGCCCUUUACCCUUUCUGAGCCCCAAAGCAGGUAGAAGCAGUCCUCUGGAAACGCAGUGGCAACCUGCUGUGAUGCCUGUAAGCCGGUGCCUGCUGGGGCUCAGCUCAUGGUCACCGUGACCACUUUCCUGACAUUCUCUAUCGUUGCCCUCCUCUUCAGCGCCCUGCUCAUAUCUGGUCCACUCAACCUCCCUCUCCCUGGGCCCUGCGUGAGAUUUGCAUACAGGUGCCCCUGCCUGGUGCAGCUGAAGGGGUGGGGAUGGGGUGAGCAGCCCAUGCUAGGAGGGCCAGCAGCACAGAACACAUGUGGUGGGAAAAUGGCUACUCGGAAUGUGGGUUUUAUUUCCCUGCCACCUCCUCAGAGCUGCCUCCUGACUCCUGUGCCAGAUGGGAGAGGUGGGCUCUGGUAUUUGGGGCCCUUUGGUAUUAGCUCCCCCUGGAGCCUUGUCACCUUUAGUCACUGUCCAAGCCUCAGUUCCUGGUCUAUAAUUGGGGGGAUGGAGGCAUGGGGAACAGCCUACAAGAGCUUGUGUAAGGAGGAACCCAGGCCCUGCACCUGCUGGAGAUGGACUGCCCAGGCCCCUGGAGGACCCCUCCACCCAGGCUGCACUUGCACAAAGGCCUCCUGUGAAGACUUCCAGGGCUCCCUCCAGACGGGUGGUGCUCAACUAGGCAGGACUGCGAGCCUCGACAGGGCCACCCACAAACCCUGAUGUCACUGUGUGUCUGAAGUGUUUUUAUAAAUCCAGCAAUUAUCUGCCUGAUCUUGGCCCUGAGCCUCAGACUGGAACCCAUGUCCUGAGGACAACAGAGCUCAUCCCACAAGCCGGCCCUCCCCAGGUCCCCCACUCACUUGCAAGGCACUCGCCUCUGGACUGAGUGGAUGGUCCUCGCUACCCUCGGACUUCACUUAAAGGUUUCUGGUCUGAUUUGGUCUGGGGUGAGAGAGGAAAAGUGGGAAGGAGGAGAAAGGUGAUGUGGGUAGGGG